rnacentral:tRNA from 1 species
GCCCGGAUGGCGGAACUGGCAGACGCGCGGGACUCAAAAUCCCGUUCCCUUUAAAGGAGUGUCGGUUCGACCCCGACUCCGGGCA